rnacentral:rRNA from 1 species
UACGUAGGGUGCGAGCGUUAAUCGGAAUUACUGGGCGUAAAGCGUGCGCAGGCGGUUUUGCAAGCCGGAUGUGAAAUCCCUCGGCUUAACCAAGGAAGUGCAUCCGAAACUGCAGUGCUUGAGUACUUAAGAGGAUCGCGGAAUUCCCGGUGUAGAGGUGAAAUUCGUAGAUAUCGGGAGGAACACCAGUGGCGAAGGCGGCGAUCUGGGAAGAUACUGACGCUGAGGUGCGAAAGCGUGGGGAGCAAACGGG